AGGUUGUGUGUUUAUUCUUU
rnacentral:miRNA from 1 species